AAGAUCCUAGCUUAAUUAAAGUACCUGGUUUGCACUCAGGAGAUGUAGGGUAGUUUCCUACGGAUUUUA
rnacentral:tRNA from 1 species